rfam:Angiostrongylus cantonensis strain Taiwan genome assembly, scaffold: ACAC_contig0002033
GCACGGAUAGCCGAGUGGUCUACGGCGCCAGACUCAAGAUUCACAUGCUGCGCGAACUUGCUUGAGCAUUCUGGUACUCGUAAGGGUGCGUGGAUUCAAAUCCCACUCCGUGCU